rnacentral:rRNA from 1 species
ACACUCCUGCGGGAGGCAGCAGUGGGGAAUAUUGGACAAUGGGCGCAAGCCUGAUCCAGCCAUGCCGCGUGAGUGAUGAAGGCCCUAGGGUUGUAAAGCUCUUUCACCGGUGAAGAUGAUGACGGUAACCGGAGAAGAAGCCCCGGCUAACUUCGUGCCAGCAGCCGCGGUAAUACGAAGGGGGCUAGCGUUGUUCGGAUUUACUGGGCGUAAAGCGCACGUAGGCGGACUAUUAAGUCAGGGGUGAAAUCCCGGGGCUCAACCCCGGAACUGCCUUUGAUACUGGUAGUCUUGAGUUCGAGAGAGGUGAGUGGAAUUCCGAGUGUAGAGGUGAAAUUCGUAGAUAUUCGGAGGAACACCAGUGGCGAAGGCGGCUCACUGGCUCGAUACUGACGCUGAGGUGCGAAAGCGUGGGGAGCAAACAGGAUUAGAAACCCGAGUAGUCCCAUG